GUAAAAUUUAUGUAUAAAGGUAAUAGACUUGAUUUGCUACACAUAUGUAUAUUUUGAAAAUAAUUGGAUAAUUUGAAAAAGAAAUAUUGGCAUUAAAAAUUCAACAUUUAGAUUGGAAUAAGAAUCCAGCCAACACCUCAGUGGAUUUUAGGAUUUUUCUUCUAUUUGAUAAGUAUAAUUAUUUUUAAAUUUGUUGUACUAUUUUUUAACUAAGAGGUUGAGAGGUGUGUAAAUUUUCAAGUAGGAUCAAUGAUUUUAUCAAUAGAUAUUAGGAUUCUAAUCUGCCUUAGGAUUUGAUCUAGGAUUUAAGAUUUGUUUAGGAUUUGAUUUAAGGUUUAGGAUUUAUCUAAAAUUUGGUUUAGGAUUUAGGAUUUUUUUAGGAUUUGGUUUAAGGAUUGAUUUAGGAUUUAGGAUUUAUUUAGGAUUUGAUUCAGGAUUUAGGAUUUUUUUAAGGUUUAUGAUUUGGCCUAAGGUUUGAUUGAAAUUCAUUAGGAUUUCAAUU
rnacentral:lncRNA from 1 species